rnacentral:rRNA from 1 species
AUUGAACGCUGGCGGCAGGCCUAACACAUGCAAGUCGAACGAGUGGCGGACGGGUGAGUAAUGUCUGGGAAACUGCCUGAUGGAGGGGGAUAACUACUGGGAACGGUAGCUAAUACCGCAUACCAUCAGAUGUACCCAGAUGGGAUUAGCUAGUGGGUGGGGUAACGGCUCACCAAGGCGACGAUCCCUAGCGGGUCUGAGAGGAUGACCAGCACAACGGGAACUGAGACACGGUCCAGACGCCUACGGGAGGAAGAAGUGGGGAAUAUUGCACAAUGGGCGAAAGCCGGAUGCAGCCAUGCCGCGUGUAUGAAGAAGGCCUUAGGGUUGUAAAGUACGUUCAGCGGGGAGGCGGUACCCGCAGAAGAAGCACCGGCUAACUCCGUGCCAGCAGCCGCGGUAAUAC